GUGGGGUAACGGCCCACCAAGGCGAUGACGGGUAGCCGGUCUGAGAGGACGAUCGGCCACACUGGGACUGAGACACUGCCCAGACUCCUACGGGAGGCUGCAGUCGAGAAUCUUCCGCAAUGGGCGAAAGCCUGACGGAGCGACACCGCGUGCAGGAUGAAGGCCUUCGGGUCGUAAACUGCUGUCACGCUAUAGGAAAGCCAUGUCGUUAAUAGCUGCAUGGUUGACCAAAGCGAGAGGAAGCACCGGCUAACUCCGUGCCAGCAGCCGCGGUAAUACGGAGGGUGCUAACGUUGUUCGGAAUCACUGGGCAUAAAGCGCACGUAGGCGGUCUUCUAAGUUGGGUGUGAAAGCCCUCGGCUCAACCGAGGAAUUGCAUUCGAUACUGGAAGACUUGAGGACGGUUGGGGUGAGUGGAACUCCUGGUGGAGCGGUGAAAUGCGUAGAUAUCAGGAGGAACACCGGUGGCGAAAGCGGCUCACUGGACCGUAUCUGACGCUGAGGUGCGAAAGCUAGGGUAGCGAACGGGAUUAGAUACCCCGGUAGUCCUAGCCGUAAACGAUGGGCACUAGGUAGGGGGAAUGCCUAUGGUUCUCCCUGCCGUAGCAAAUGUGAUAAGUG
rnacentral:rRNA from 1 species